rfam:Triticum aestivum genome assembly, contig: Triticum_aestivum_CS42_TGACv1_scaffold_406270_5BL
AUUGUACUCCCUCUGUCCGGAAAUACUUGCCGUACAAAUGGAUAAAAUUGAAUGUAUCUAGAAUUAAAAUACGUCUAGAUACAUCCAUUUUCCCGACAAGUAUUUCCGGUCGGAGGGAGUAGGUA